rnacentral:rRNA from 1 species
UGGGGAAUAUUGCGCAAUGGGCGAAAGCCUGACGCAGCCACGCCGCGUGAGCGAUGAAGGUCUUAGGAUCGUAAAGCUCUGUGGGGGGAGAAGAAGAAAGCCGGUGAAGAGCCGGCCUUGACGGUUAUCCCUUUAGCAAGCACCGGCUAACUCCGUGCCAGCAGCCGCGGUAAUACGGAGGGUGCAAACGUUGCUCGGAAUCAUUGGGCGUAAAGCGCGCGUAGGCGGCGAGGCAAGUUGGAUGUGAAAGCCCUGGGCUCAACCUAGGAUGUGCAUACAAAACUGCCUCGCUUGAAUCUCGGAGGGGGUCAGGGAAUUCCCGGUGUAGAGGUGAAAUUCGUAGAUAUCGGGAGGAACACCAGUGGCGAAGGCGCUGACCUGGACGAUGAUUGACGCUGAGGCGCGAAAGCGUGGGGAGCAAACAGGAUUAGGAUACCCUGGUAGUCCACGCCGUAAACGAUGAGUGCUAGGCGCCGGAGGAUUGACCCCGUC